rnacentral:rRNA from 1 species
UACGGAGGGUGCAAGCGUUAUCCGGAUUCACUGGGUUUAAAGGGUGCGUAGGUGGGCUGUUAAGUCAGUGGUGAAAUCUCCAGGCUUAACUUGGAAACUGCCAUUGAUACUAUCAGUCUUGAAUACCGUGGAGGUCAGCGGAAUAUGUCAUGUAGCGGUGAAAUGCUUAGAUAUGACAUAGAACACCAAUUGCGAAGGCAGCUGGCUAAACGAAUAUUGACACUGAUGCACGAAAGCGUGGGGAUCAAACAGG